rnacentral:rRNA from 1 species
UGAGGUGUGGAUAGGGGAGAAAUUCCAAUCGAACCCGGAGAUAGCUGGUUCUCCUCGAAAUAGCUUUAGGGCUAGCCUCGAUUUAGUCUUAUGGAGGUAGAGCACUGAAUUUCCGCGGGGGCGUCAAAGCUUACCAAAGAAUAUCAAACUCCGAAUGCCAUGUAGAUGAUGAACGGGAGUCAGACUGCACGAGAUAAGUUGGGCAGUCAAAAGGGAAAGAGCCCAGACCGCCAGCUAAGGUCCCAAAGUGUGUGUUAAGUGGAAAAGGAUGUGGGAUCUCCAAGACAACUAGGAUGUUGGCUCAGAAGCAGCCACACAUUCAAAGAGUGCGUAACAGCUCACUAGUCGAGAGGUCCUGCGCCGAAAAUGUCCGGGGCUGAAACACAACACCGAAGCUGCGGAAUCACGCAAGUGAUUGGUAGAGGAGCAUUCUUAAUACCGACGAAGCUGUACCGGAAGGAGCAGUGGAGGGAUAAGAAGAGAGAAUGCCGGAAUGAGUAGCGAGAGAGAGGUGGGAAUCCUCUCGGCCGAAUAUCCAAGGUUUCCAGAGUAAAGCUGAUCUGCUCUGGGUAAGUCGGGGCCUAAGGCGAGGUCAAAAGACGUAGCCGAUGGACAACAGGUUUAGAUUCCUGUACCGCAUAUAAACAGAACUGUGGGGACGCAUGGGGAGAGCAUGGGCCGGGAAUGGAAAUACCGGUGCAAGCGAAGGAGGUGUGCAGCCGGCAAAUCCGCUGCAUGAGCCGAAAGCGUGACGCGGAGCGAAAUGAAAGUAGCGAAGCAUGUGAGCCCUGUGCCGAGAAAAGCCGCUAUUGUUUUAUAUGUGCCCGUACCGUAAACCGACACAGGUGGAUGAGGAGAGAAUCCUAAGGCCGGCGGAAGAAGUAUUGUUAAGGAACUCGGCAAAAUGACCCCGUAACUUCGGGAGAAGGGGUGCCCACGGGAGUGGGCCGCAGAGAAUAGGCUCAAGCAACUGUUUAGCAAAAACACAGGUCUAUGCGAAACCGAAAGGUGAAGUAUAUGGGCUGACGCCUGCCCGGUGCUGGAAGGUUAAGAGGAGAGGUUAGCUUCGGCGAAGCUUUGAAUUUAAGCCCCAGUAAACGGCGGCCGUAACUAUAACGGUCCUAAGGUAGCGAAAUUCCUUGUCGG